rnacentral:lncRNA from 1 species
GGAGCAAGGCAACCUUGAGCUGGAGCUGGCUUUGGAAAGGAAGAGAGCAGAGUUUUGUGCCUUGGAAGAAGGAGAUGGUAGUGUGUCAGGAUCUAGUCCAUGUUCAGCAUCACAGGACGGAAUGUGUAGGAUUAUGUCUAAAUGAGGAAAAUGGAAGAUGUUUGUUCGAGCUACCACUCCAGAAUUUGCUAGCUGAAGUUCUAGUAAAACUGGAUGAGAGACUCCAGAAAAUGGAGAAACUGCAAUUGGUACUUGAGAUUCAAAAGAAAUAGAUGAAAAUUCAGACAAAUGGAUGGAAGUAGAAGAGUCUUCUGAAAGAUAAAAGUUCAGAUAGCACGUAAAGUGGGGGAAGAGUAGGACCUAAAA